UACGGGGGGGGCAAGCGUUGUUCGGAAUUACUGGGCGUAAAGGGUUUGUAGGUGGCCGGCUAAGUCAGACGUGAAAUCCCUCAGCUUAACUGGGGAACUGCGUCUGAAACUGAUCGGCUCGAGUGCAGGAGAGGAACGCGGAAUUCCAGGUGUAGCGGUGAAAUGCGUAGAUAUCUGGAGGAACACCGGUGGCGAAGGCGGCGUUCUGGACUGCAACUGACACUGUAAAACGAAAGCCAGGGGAGCAACGGG
rnacentral:rRNA from 1 species